rnacentral:rRNA from 1 species
AGUGAACGCUGGCGGUAGGCCUAACACAUGCAAGUCGAACGGCAGCACAGUAAGAGCUUGCUCUUACGGGUGGCGAGUGGCGGACGGGUGAGGAAUACAUCGGAAUCUACUUUUUCGUGGGGGAUAACGUAGGGAAACUUACGCUAAUACCGCAUACGACCUACGGGUGAAAGCAGGGGAUCUUCGGACCUUGCGCGAUUGAAUGAGCCGAUGUCGGAUUAGCUAGUUGGCGGGGUAAAGGCCCACCAAGGCGACGAUCCGUAGCUGGUCUGAGAGGAUGAUCAGCAACACUGGAAAGGAGAAACGGUCCAGCCCCCUACGGGAGGGAGCAGGGGGGAAUAGUGGAAAAGGGGCGAAAGCCUGAUCCACCCAUCCCGGGGGGGGGAAGAAGGCCUUGGGUUGUUAAAGCCUUUUUGUGGGAAAAAAAAAGCAGCAGGUAAAUACCCCCUUUUCCGGACGGCCCCAAAAAAAAAAGCCCGGGCAAAUUUGGGG